rnacentral:tRNA from 1 species
GCCCCCGUACCCCAAUGGCAGAGGGAGCGGAUUCAAAACCCGCACAGUGUCCGUUCGAAUCGGACCGGGGGCA